GGAUCUGCCCUUGCAACUUCUAGGAAAUUUUUUUCUCCAGCAGUACUGGGGAAUUGUUGCUGAGUAAAUAGUAGGAGGAACUAUGGGCCAGGCUGGGGCCAUCUAUAGAUAGGAUCUCCACAGACUUCUGACCAAACCGUUGCACCAUCAAAAAAACAUGCCUCAGCAAGCCUGCUGGAGAUAUGUGAGGGAUACUUGGAGCAGAGCCAGUCAUCCCAACUGAGACCACCCUAAACCAGCCAGCUGAUGGCCAGCUUGGCAGCAGAUAGUUGAUGCUUGAGCAAGUCCUGCCAAGACCAGUCAAGACUAAUCCAGGAUGCAGAACUUCUAGUAGAAUCACAGACUGGUCCCAUUUGUUGUAGAUUCAAGACAGAAAGAUCGACAGGCUGAUUGGGACAGUUGAAGCCAAAUGUGGCAGGCACAGUCCAUACUGCACUCAGCCCCAUCACCAGGAGAAUAAGGGGAUGAGCCAACAGAGACAUUUUUAUCCGAUAGAGAUUUAGAUUCUUUCCAAGACUGAGACAUCCUGGUCUCACCGAGCAUUGUCAUCCACACCACUCGGGCAGCACAGCAUUUGCCUUAAGGAACUUGGGUAAGAACCUGAUUGCUUCUGGCCUUGGAAUGGGCUUUUCCCAAGGAUGGUCUUCUUCUCUGGUUUAUAUCCCACCCUAUUCUGGAUUUUGAUAUUGAAACAAAGAAUUCUAUUUUUUCCUGUGGAAUGCUAUUUCUUUUCUUUUUAAUACAAGAGAAGCAAGCUUGCUGAGUUUCAUCACCUCUUAACAGUCUUAAAAAGCUAACCUGGAGGACUAAGGGCCUAGGAAUUACCACAUUGGAAGCCUCUGUGAAGUACAGAUUUAGGUGGCCAACAUAUUUCAGACAGUAAUGCAAAUGAGCAUCCGUUCUGACAAUUUUGGUCCUUCUCAAAACAAAGAUGGCCUUAGAAACCAGUGAAAACAUAGAUGGAAGAAGAAAGGACACCUGUUUUCUGGCACACGGAUGGCAAACACUAAAUGGUUUCCUCCAUUGUCACUGAUAACAUGACUGAUAUGAGUAGAUAGCAAACAGCGUAGUGUCUCCACUCUAAUAAACUCACACAAAAGAGAGACAGGAAGGAAGGAAGGACGGAAGGAAGGAAG